rnacentral:misc_RNA from 1 species
GAAGUGCGAUAAGCAAUGCGAAUUGCAGAAUUCCGCGAAUCAUCAGAUCUUUGAACGCAAAUGGCGCCAGAGGGAUACCCUUUUGGCAUGUCUGUUUCAGUGUCUGAGAGGUUUCACACUCACCUUAAUGUGAUUGACGUCUCCCUUUUCUCGGAAAGGGAAAACAACGUCUCUCAUGAAAGAUGCGCGAGUGGAUCUUUCGGUCCAAUGAAGUGGUCAUUUUCCCAGAAAGUGAUUUCAUUGGAAGCACCGAAUUAUCCGCAUGCUCGCGGUUUCACGCUGUUGUUUUUAACGAAACAGCAGUCACCACUCUCCACACCCUGCAUCUGAAACAGGCAAGAUCACCCGCUGAACUUAA